rnacentral:rRNA from 1 species
GGAAACGUAUGCUAAUACCGAAUAUGCUCUACGGAGUAAAGGUGCCCUCUCCUUGGAAGGUAUCGCUAUAGGAUGAGCCCGCGUGAGAUUAGUUAGUUGGUAAGGUAAUGGCUUACCAAGGCGACGAUCUCUAGCUGGUUUGAGAGGAUGAUCAGCCACACUGGGACUGAGACACGGCCCAGACUCCUACGGGAGGCAGCAGUGGGGAAUAUUGCACAAUGAGCGAAAGCUUGAUGCAGCCAUACCGCGUGUGUGAAGAAGGCCCGAGGGUUGUAAAGCACUUUCAAUUGUGAGGAAGAUAGUGUCGUUAAUAUCGGCAUUGUUUGACGUUAACUUUAGAAGAAGCACCGGCUAACUCUGUGCCAGCAGCCGCGGUAAUACAGAGGGUGCAAGCGUUAUUCGGAAUUACUGGGCGUAAAGCGCGCGUAGGCGGAUUAUUAAGUCAGUUGUGAAAGCCCUGGGCUCAACCUGGGAACUGCAUCUGAUACUGGUAGUCUAAAAUUUAAGAGAGGGAAGUGGAAUUCCAGGUGUAGCAGUGAAAUGCGUAGAUAUCUGGAGGAACAUCAGUGGCGAAGGCGACUUCCUGGCUUAAAACUGACGCUGAAGUGCGAAAGCGUGGGUAGCGAACGGGAUUAGAUA